rnacentral:rRNA from 1 species
CGCGUAGGCGGUUUGAUAAGUCAGAUGUGAAAGCCCACGGCUUAACUGUGGAAGUGCAUUUGAAACUGUCAGACUUGAGUAUCAGAGGGGAAAGUGGAAUUCCCGGUGUAGAGGUGAAAUUCGUAGAUAUCGGGAGGAAUACCGGUGGCGAAGGCGACUUUCUGGCUGAAUACUGACGCUGAGGCGCGAAAGCGUGGGAGCAAACA